AGCUCAGUUGGUAGAGCAAAAGACUGAAA
rnacentral:tRNA from 1 species